AUGCCCAUCGCCCCUUCCGAUGAGUUCCGCCGCCCCUUCUGGGUCCUCCUCCACAUCCAUGCCCACGCCCGCCGUAGUCGCAAGAGCGCCGCCGCCGUGGGCCGGGGGAGGAACAAUGAGAUACUACUUGCUUCCCUCCUCCCCAAUCACCCGCCGACCCCCUCCAAUCUGUACCUGUACCGCAAAAAUGGGCCUUUCGGAGAUACGCCCUGCGUGCUCUCCAUGGUGGACAACCUCAUCCUCUUCCACGCAUACACCGGGCCCGAGCUCCGCUUCCCCCCGACACGGCUGUGCGACUUCUUCGUCUACCGGGCCGACCCCAACGAGCCGUCUCUCAAGCUACUGCCGCACCCUCCAUGUUCCGUCGACAGGGAUGAUCCGUUCGGCAUCUUCCCCCGAGGGGACAAGCACUACACCAUCGCAUCGCUGGUACCGAGCAUAUCCUCUGCCUACGAUCACGUACUCCACCUGUUCGACUCCGAGACCCAGAUUUGGAGCAGAAAAGAUCUGAUUGUUGAGUCGGCACAGGCGAGCUUUCCGGUUGAUACCCCCGUCAGCACCAAGCGGAUCUUAUCCCAACACCAUACAUCCACCGUGAUCACUCUUGCAGGCGCCAUUUCGUGGGUUGACCUCUGGCGCGGCAUAGUUUUCUGCGACAUGCUCUCGGAGAAUCAUGCACUCAGCGGUGUCCCACUGCCACUGCCACAGAUCACAGGACCUGCAAGGCAUUACCGUGGUAUCGCUUUGCUUGGUGGAUGCAUCAGGCUCGUUGAGGUGGAUUCUGAAAUCGUUGAUCUCCCGGACACUUGUGAUGAAGAAACCGGGUGGGCUAUUGGCCGAACAGAGAACUGGACGAUUACCACUUGGAUCAACAAGAGUGACAAGGACGAGCGUAAUUCUUAUGCUGCUUGGAACAAGGUGACCACGCUUUGA
rnacentral:rRNA from 1 species